rnacentral:rRNA from 1 species
AUAUUUGACACUGGGCGAAAGCGUGAUCCAGCCAAUCAGCGUGUGGGAAGAAGGUCUUAGGAUUGUAAAGCACUUUAAGUUGGGAGGAAGGGCAGUAAGUUAAUACCUUGCUGUUUUGACGUUAGCGACAGAAUAAGCACCGGCUAACUUCGUGCCAGCGGCCGCGGUAAUCCGAAGGGUGCAAGCGUUAAUCGUAUUUACUGGGCGUAAAGCACGCGUAAGUGGUUUGUUAAGUUGGAGAUGAAAGCACCGGACUGGACCUGGAAACUACUUUCAAAACUAGCAAGCUAGAGUAUGGCAGAGGGUGGUGGAAUUUCCUGUGUAGCGGAGAAGUGCGUAGAUAUAGGAAGGAACACCAGUGGCGAAGGCGACCACCUGAGCUAAUACUGACACUGAGCUGAGAAAGCGUGGGGAGCAAACAG